GUUUUUUUUUUUUUUUUUUUUUGGUGGUUGGGACCAGUAUUGAACUGAAGUCUAUAAUUAAGAUAACAUUACACAAAUUUUGUGAGAAACAUGGACAAAAAAUUUAAUAUAGGCAAUAUAGGCACAGAGGGGACAAAGUGGCAUUUGAGUGUUUUAGUGUUCUGAGAUCUUGGGUUCCAGGGCAAUCCUGAUAGGGAGAACUUGUGUAAUAAGUGGUUUGAAAAUACUACUCUCAGACUGUUAACAUCCUAAUUCUCACGCAGCUUGUUGAUGAACACCUAUCAAAGUUUUGUUUAGCUCGUUAUUCAGGAAACCAGAAGAAUGACAGAUCUAGUUCAAAAAAUCAUUUAAAGAUUGUGGGGGAAAGCAUGCAGUAAAAAGAUUGUUAAUUUAUGUACAAACUAGGCUGUUGUCCAGAAAAAUCUUGCUUUUUACCAUAUUUCUACAAAUUAACUUCUUAACUCUACAGUAUUUUUUUUCACUUUUCAUAAGGCUCACUUUAUUCCAUUUAAAGGAUGUCCUUGGAUUAGAGAUGAAGGCCUUUAUUAUAACAAAAUGGCUGGAGAUUUUUGAGUAUUCCCUAUGUCCCAGGAACCUCACUCAGAUGUUCUUGUUUAAUCCUCAACAUCCCCCAUGAGGAAGAGAGGUCAUGGGAACCAUGAAGGAGCUGCUUCCCUAACCUACAUGGAGAAGUAGAUCUAUGCUGCACAAAGGGUGCACUGAGGAAGCCGUGGAAGUGUGCUGCUCAGAUCUCCCUUCAAGACAACUUUCUAUGAGGAUAAUAGUGAGCAGCCACCUUCCAGCUGCUGCACCAAUGUAGUAUUCGCACUGAGGUCAUGCUCUCUUCAGGCUGCUACUAGCCAAUGACUGAGUAGUACAGGGGUACAACAGCUGGCCAUUCCUGUCUGACAUAGGACUCCAAUAACAGACAAUCUUUGCUCUGAGUUUCCCAUUUGCCCUAGGGAGAUUUUUUCAGAUUUGAGCUACAGACUGAGGCUCUUCCUUCUUUCUCUCCUUUUACAGGUGUCAGACUGGCAUCGUGGACUGAAGGCUCCCAUUACCUGUCCCUUCUUCUCUCCCUCUUCUUUAUCCUCCACAGGUGUUUCCUUCAAUAAACCUUUUGAAUAUCUAA